UGUUCCGACUUAUAUCAAAUUAAAAUAUGAUGUCUAUUACGAAUGACAACCCAUUCCGGGUCACCACACCCCCUACUUUCAUGGUGCAACAGAAGAGCUUCAUUCAACGUUUUUCCGCAUUCUAUGCUUAGUUAAUCACAUUGGAGAGUGACGACAUUUGUUUGGUCAGCUUCUGACGGGUCAGGCGGGUCGGGAAACUUGGCCCAUCAUCUGUUGACCAUGUCAGUGGUUCUCCAGUUCGCUUUGUCAAAGCUCCAGUUCCCGACACUGAACUCUAACCCAUUACCUCUGUUGCACCAAAAGAAUAACCAUACAUUUCACUAAUCCAGCCAGAUUCAUAGAUAUCUCCAGUUAUAUUUUUCCCGUAAUGAGCAGUGUCAGCUCUGACUUCCUCUGUUUUAUGCAACCAUAAGAUUGCGUUGCAAACUUUCUGAGAUGGUCAAUGUGCAUCACUAUCACGCCACCAAGUUUGUCACAUGCUUC
rnacentral:lncRNA from 1 species